GACGAACGCUGGCGGCGUGCCUAAUACAUGCAAGUAGAACGCACAGUUUAUACCGUAGCUUGCUACACCAUAGACUGUGAGUUGCGAACGGGUGAGUAACGCGUAGGUAACCUGCCUGGUAGCGGGGGAUAACUAUUGGAAACGAUAGCUAAUACCGCAUAAUAUUAAUUAUUGCAUGAUAAUUAAUUGAAAGGUGCAAUUGCACCACUACCAGAUGGACCUGCGUUGUAUUAGCUAGUAGGGGAGGUAACGGCUCACCUAGGCGACGAUACAUAGCCGACCUGAGAGGGCGAACGGCCACCCUGGGACUGAGACACGGCCCAGACUCAUAGGGGAGGCAGCAGUAGGGAAUCUUCGGCAAGGGAAGAAAGUCUGACCGAGCAACGCCGCGGGAGUGAAGAAGGAUUUCGGAUCGUAAAGCUCUGUUGUAAGAGAAGAACGGGUGUGAGAGUGGAAAGUUCACACUGUGACGGUAUCUUAACAGAAAGGGACGGCUAACUACGUG
rnacentral:rRNA from 1 species